ACGCUUGCUCACCUCCCGGACGGUAACAAGUCAACACCGCAUCCACAUCCACAUCCAAAGUAGAGUACACACACAAAUCCCGAGCGAGCGAAAACCGAUUCCUUUUCUUACCGCACCGCGAAGCCAAGGCGAAGGCGAAGGUUGUCGUCGGCGAUGUUCCUGGUGGGGAUAGUGGCGGAGCUGCUGGAGGACUACACGAGAUGCUGGUGGCGGAGGUGCUGGAGCAGCUGCUCAACGGCGCGCCGUUCCCCCGCCGGAUGCGCACGCUCAUGCUGCGGAGCCUCCCCUUCGUUGCCCCGCCGCUGGCGCCGCCCCCGCCGCCGUACGCCCUCCGCGUCACCACCCGAGGCUGAUCGAUCCAGCCGACUGCCUCUGCCAAGCCUCGUCCGAUCCGAUAGGUCCAUCCAGAUCGUCUGUUUUGCCUCUUUCGGUUCAUUCUGUUGAUUCGUUUGGUGUACAGACCGACUGUACUAGUUGUACUGUGAUGUCUCUUGUUAUCCACAGCGGUGGAAAUGAGACCGAUUUUUCCAUGGCUCCUUUGUAAAUAGUUCUGGUGAGAUCUGGGGGCCUUUCAGUUUGAGCUCCUUUUUCAUGUGGAUAAUGCAUACUAGUAGAAUUCUGGAUGAUCUCUUUUGCUGGA